rnacentral:rRNA from 1 species
AUACGGAGGGUGCAAGCGUUAAUCGGAAUUACUGGGCGUAAAGAGUACGUAGGUGGUUUAUUAAGUCAGAUGUGAAAGCCCCGGGCUCAACCUGGGAACUGCAUUUGAAACUAGUAGACUAGAGUAUGGUAGAGGGGGGUAGAAUUUCUAGUGUAGCGGUGAAAUGCGUAGAUAUUAGAAGGAAUACCAGUGGCGAAGGCGGCCCCCUGGACCAAUACUGACACUGAGGUACGAAAGCGUGGGUAGCGAACAGGAUUAGAUACCCUAGUAGUCC